AAUAGCCUAACGGCUGAACCAGCAACUUGGAGGAAUGCAUAGCUACGGCUAAUUGUGUAUAAUUACACGAUAUCGACUCUGUCGAAUAAAAUUCUGGGUAAAUUAUGAUGAUGACAUUUUUUACCUAUGUGUCUUGACCAAAUUGUGUGCCAGCAGUCGCGGUAAUACAUAGAAGACUAGUGUUAUUCAUCUUUAAUAGGUUUAAAGGGUACCUAGACGGUAGAUCAAGCCCUAGACGGGACUAAUUUGCUAGAGUUACUUGUGAGGGGGCUUUAAAGUACUAAUGGUGUAGAGAUAAAAUUUUGUAAUACCAUUUUUCGUAAAGAAAAAUUAUGGCACUGGUAAAGGUGAAAGCAUCCCCCUAUGUGAUAA
rnacentral:rRNA from 1 species